CCUACGUGCGGCAGCAGUGGGGAAUAUUGGACAAUGGGCGAAAGCCUGAUCCAGCCAUGCCGCGUGUGUGAAGAAGGCCUUCGGGUUGUAAAGCACUUUCAGUGGGGAAGAAAGCCUUGGGGCUAAUACCCUCGAGGAAGGACAUCACCCACAGAAGAAGCACCGGCUAACUCCGUGCCAGCAGCCGCGGUAAUACGGAGGGUGCGAGCGUUAAUCGGAAUUACUGGGCGUAAAGCGCGCGUAGGCGGUCUGAUAAGCCGGUUGUGAAAGCCCCGGGCUCAACCUGGGAACGGCAUCCGGAACUGUCAGGCUAGAGUGCAGGAGAGGAAGGUAGAAUUCCCGGUGUAGCGGUGAAAUGCGUAGAGAUCGGGAGGAAUACCAGUGGCGAAGGCGGCCUUCUGGACUGACACUGACGCUGAGGUGCGAAAGCGUGGGUAGCAAACAGGAUUAGAUACCCCAGUAGUC
rnacentral:rRNA from 1 species